rnacentral:lncRNA from 7 species
CUCUGAUUUGGAAACACUGCUUUACUACAGGCAAAGUUGCUCUACAAGCAUUAACAUCCAUUCUGCCUUUGAAUACACAUGCAACAUAGCUUACCUGGAGAUAAAAAGAAUGGACUUCUGAGGGAUGUCUUUCCCAGGGGAUUUAUUUUUCCAGGAAGACACCUCUGCUACAAUAUUUCUUCAUGUAGGACUUCCUGAGCAUAGCCAUGCAAUAUUUAAAGUAAAGGCAUCAGAGGAAUGCAAUUUCUUCCAGACCACAACUCUCCAAAUUGUCUAAAGGAGGCAAAGGGAAAUGCUGCAGUUUAACGAGGAAAGAAAACUGACAGAAGACCACAAACCACAUGGUCAGGAGGUAUCCAACAAGGAUCUUUUACUCCCUUUCCACUGACAUCUUCCUGCUGCUCCAUCCUGUUCCCCUCUCUCAUCUAACCUCUGCUGAUGCUGAACAUCUCUACCCAAUCCACACGUGGCAUGCUUUGAAAUCCACCACUCGAUACCAUUUAACCACAGUCCCCUUCUCUAAAACCGAAUGAUUGACACAAUUUCAGAAGUCUCAGACUGACCCAGCAACUGAGAAUAAGCAGAAGCAGAAGCAUAGACACUGCUUUAAAACUGCAGCAUACGUCUGUGAACCAAUUGCAUGGUCAAGAAAUGUGGGCUGCAACUUUAGAUAUGCAGUCAUUUCAUGAAACCAGAUUUGGGGCAAUAGGGGUGAACAGUGGGGUUUCUGUGGUUCCUUUGGCUGAAGAGGUUCAUGUUUCUGGCACUGAGUGCAUUCAAACACUGUAGUAUGGAGACACCAAACGGAAAACCACUCAGAUCAUUCCCAGAGUUUGAGGUGAAGCUGCCUUGACUGUAGUUCCCUGGAACCUCCCUCAGAACAGGCUGGCCAUUUCUGAAACUAGACAGAAACACACCCUGGCCAAGAUCUCAAACCAAAGCAAAUGGUGGUCACCUGUCAGCACUGCACAUAUCAACCAACUGCUGCCUACUCUAUACCUGAACAGAAACUAGCAUCACAUGGUGCAUAAAAGAAGACAGUCAUUUAUAGAUAUGACUUUAAAUUAAAGCACUGAAGCUUAUGAAUGACAUUCUCAGUCUACGUGAACUUAAAAAGGAAACGAUGAAGAAUCUCUUAUUCCUUCCUACCAUUCAUACAGCGUUAUGCAAGAAAGUAAAUCUUCACAAGCAUCUUCCUGUCCAAAAAAAAUAGGAAAGUGCAUCACUAAUAAUCAAAUUAACUUAAGACUCAGUAUGAACAUCAUUACUAUUGCCAUCCUGUUAAUUUCAGGACUGAUACAUACGCACAAAAGUUAGCAGUGUAGUUGAUAUAUAUAAGGAAGGGAGGAUAUAUUGGAAGCCACGGAGAAAGUUUAGAUGUGCUGUAGAGAAAAUGAAUGAGUUCUCUGCAGUAUGUUUCAGCUCUGUAGUAUGUCCCAGAGUUGAUUUUCUUCACAGUGGCUGGUAUGAUGCUACGUGUUGGCAUUAGGAGAAAAACUAUGUUGAUAACACACCGAUGUUUUUGUUGUUACUGAGUAGUGCUGUACAGAGCCAAGGUCAUUUUAGUUUCUCCAUUUCUUGUACUGUCCUGACAGCAAGGAAGCUGGUAGGGCACAAGGAGUGGAGGGGGGACAGAACCAGGACAGCUGACCUAAACUGCCCAAAGGGGUAUUCCAUGCCACAUGGCAUCAUGUGGAGGCUAUACAACUAAGGGGAGCAGCCACUGCUUAGGGACUGGCUGGUUAUCAGUCAGCGGGUGCUGACCAAUUGUGUUGUGCAUCACUUGUUUUGUAAAUAUAUGUGUAUAUUUAAUAAUUAGCAUCAUUACUAUUAUUUAUCUCUUCCUUUUUUUUUUUUUUUGUCCUAGUAA